AGAAGAAAAUAUUCAUGUUCUAAAAUGGUGAAAAUAACAGGUUAAAUCUUCUCUUCUCUUCUUUUUCUUUUGAUUUUAAGUUUGCGCCAUAACCAGCAAAUGCACAUUCAGAUUUAGGGCUUUCUGUAAUACCUAAUCGUCUUUCUUAUAUACUUCUUAAAAACCAACUCUCUAACUAACAUUUUUAGCACUUGUUUUUUCUAGGGUUUCUUCCCCAACAUUACUUCUAGGGUUUCUCACAAUUUAAAUUCAGUCACCACAUUAAUUCUCUCUUUACUUCAGCUCAAAAGCUUCAAUCUUUUCAGUUAUUUUUUUCUUCUUUGAUAUUGGGUUGGUUUUAAUUCAAGAUUCUUCUGCUUCUGGGAGGAGUUUAAAUUCUACUUCUUGUUGUUGUUUGCAAUUGGAUUGAACUGGGCUUUUUAAAGUCAAUAUAAUUGAGUGAAGAUUGGAAUGAAUAGUGUAUUUAGUGAACAGAUUCUUGCUGAUAAGCUUUCUAAGCUCAACAGCACCCAGCAAUGCAUUGAAACUCUGUCACAUUGGUGCAUAUUUCACCGAAGUAAAGCGGAGCAAGUUGUGCAAACAUGGGAUAAACAGUUUCACAGCUCACAGAUGGAACAGAAAGUUCCCUUGUUGUAUCUUGCAAAUGAUAUUCUUCAGAAUAGUAAACGUAAUGGGAAUGAAUUUGUAUCCGAAUUUUGGAAGGUUCUUCCCACGGCACUUAAAGAUCUUAAUGAGAAAGGCAGUGAUCGCGGAAAGACUGCAGUCACGCGAUUGGUGAGCAUAUGGGAAGAACGGAGAGUUUUUGGAUCCCGUGCUCGGAGCCUUCGAGAUGUAAUGCUUAGUGAAGAAAAUCCGCCGCCAUUGGAGUUCAGCAAAAAACGUUCGCGGUCUGUCAAAAUUAUGAAGCGGGAUACUCGAUCCAUUAAAACAAAAUUGACUAUUGGAGGUGCUGCAGAAAAAAUUGUAUCGGCAUUUCAUUUGGUUGGCAGUGAAAAUCAAACUGAAGAGGCAGAAAUGAGCAAUUGUAAGUCUGCAAUCAAUCUUGUGCGGAAGAUGGAAAAGGAUGUUGAAAUUGCAUGUAGAAGCGGUAAGGAUCCCAAAAGAAAAGUAAUGGCCAAAGAAAUAGAGGAAGAAGAAAAUCUUUUGAGACAAAGUAUUGAGAAAUUAAAAUCAGUUGAAGCAAGUAGAGUAGCACUUGUGUCUCAAUUAAAAGAAGCUCUGCAUGAACAGGAAGCCGAACUAGAGAACAUUCGAACUCAGAUGCAGGUAGCUCAGGCUCAGGCAGACGAGGCCAACAUCAUGCGAAAGAGGCUGAAUGAUGAAGAUUAUGUACCCAGUGCAUCUACUUCGACAACCCAAGCGGUUUAUACAAAUGCGAAAUCUGGACAAACAAAGAAAUCAGCUGCAGCAAUUGCUGCUGAAGUAGCUGACAAGCUUGCAGCCUCGAGCUCCUCUCAACUGAUUAUGCAUUCUGUUCUUUCUACAUUCGCAGCUGAAGAGGCAAAGAAUGCUGGAUUAACAAAGCCUGAAAAGUCCUUGCCGAUUUCAGAUCCCACUGUUUUUAUGCCUGCAUCUAACCAUCCCUAUCAGUCGGUUAUGUUACCGCCCCUGCCAAUGAUGCAAAACCAGGCCCCUAGCCCCCAAGCUCAAUAUCACAUGCUUCCAAAUCCACCAUCCCAACAAUAUAUGCAGCCAUCAGGGAAUGUGAUGAACCCAUAUGGUUAUGGACCGCCGCCACCGCCACCAUCUUAUAUGGUGAGUCCAAUGGUGCCUUUGAAUCAACAACAGCAACUGGCACAACAGCAGGCCCAAAUUCCCCAGCUACAACCGAUGCCAUUAACUCAACAAGUUAUGGGCCCUCCUAGUUUCCGACCCCUUCAGCCACCUGGGAUGGUGUAUUAUGGCCGCCCUCCCCAUUCAUAAUUAUUUUUAGGCGGUAGAUAGUUUAAUCAGUAUGCCCAUGUUUCCAGGGAGAAUCAUUUUCUCAGAGCAUUUGAAAUUUUGUUUGUGAUGAUCAAUCAGCCUUACUCAGUUAACAGCAUAUAGAAAUCUGAAACAGUUAAACUGGAAUAUUAUCACGAGCAAUCUACGCUGCUGCUGGACGUGGAAUGCUCAUUGCCCCAUGGAAUUUGCAAAUCAUGCCUUUAGCAUCUGCUUCAUCAUGGAGUGCUUGCUGUCGGGUGGGAUUGCGCCAUCUCGUGAUUGUCGAUAUAUAAGAAAAUUGGUUAAAUAUAGAAGAAGUGGAAUUGGAUUUGAGGAUGUAAAUAGGAGAUUCUGUACAAGUUUUGAAGUGACUAAUUUUGGGUACUUAAAUUUUUUGAAGAAAGAAAGGAAGCAUACAUGUGCAGGCUGAGUAUAUUAUUGUGCUUGCAUUCUUCACCA